GCUGAACCUUGUAGCUAUUGCCUCUUAGAAGUUGUGUCUACUGAUCUGACAUGGAUGAGGCUGGGCCCUGCAAUACUCUGGUUGCUGGCACCAGUGACAGUGCUGGUGGACAGUAGUGCUGCAGUGUCAGAAGUUGGUGCUUGCAGCCUAGGGCUGGCUUUCUCCUGGAACAGGCAGUACGUGGUCGGCACUGCCUUGAAAAACACCUUUCCCCAUCAGAAUAGCAGCGCGUCCAUUCCUAAGUGGACCAUGAUGGCUAAGAAGACAGUGAAAAUGGUAGCACGACUGCCAUACCAUUAACUUAUUAACGUCAGUACACCACACUCAGACGUACCGUCAGAGAACUGCUGAUAGAUUUACAGGAACGCAGAACACAUGAGAUUAUUAUUGUAGUACUGGACCAAGACACUGAGUGAACGAGGACGGAAUCAGAGAGCACAGCAACAGGUCUCCAACUGAAGCAGUAUACAGUAGUAUCCUUGGAAAACAUACACACGUGAAUAAAGCACCUCCCAGUGGCAUAGCUACAAAAACUACUGCACUGUUGCCGCUGUAGUGAAACCUGCUGUGCCUAACACGAGGGCUGUGAUGCUUAUCACGCCACGGGCCAGCUGGCUUUAUGAUGCGUGUGUUUCCUUUCCAGCUUGAUUGACUGUCUUCUAUUAGCUCCUUUUAUUUCUUGCUUCUCUGGCAUUCUCAAGGCUUAACUGCUGUUCUAUUAAUUGUAAUCCUUCUGUCUGGGGGCAUGUUUAGGCUUUAAUUAAGGUAAAGAGCUUAAUCAACAAGCUUAGCACAGUGUUCUUCUCCAACUCUCCACACAAUGUGAAAACUUAGGAAUUUCAGAACAUUAGCUUUAAAUUUGUUUGGGUAAAUUUUCUUUUAUUUUAUAAAUCAAUUUUAGUAAUGACAUUAAUAUUUACAGUGUUCCUAUCCAGUAAUUCUUUGGGCUGUGCUGGCCUUUUCCUACCUUCUAUGUUAUACCUGGUCUGUCCUGGGGUCUGUUCUGCCUUCUUGCUCCCAGGCUCCUGUUUUUCUGGGGAAGAGGUCAAAUGCCACUAAGGUGCCAAAGGAACAUUCACCUCCUGGACCUUGGGCUUCUCCACUGGGGACAGGUCACAUGCCAGGCCUCAUGCUCUGACUUUCUAUUCCUUUACACUCAGAGAAGAAUGGUACUCAGCAGUCACACAUCCUUAGGCCACAAUGGUUUAAAAAACAGUAGGCAAAUAUGACAUUUUGGACACCUGAAAAUUUAGCUAGUAAGAUGGGAGUUGAUUCAAAGACUCUUUCUUGCAAAUUCUCUUUUUUUUUUAAAUAAGUUUUUAUUUAUUACAAUUUAUUCACUUUGUAUCCCAGUUGUAGCUCCCUUUCUCUUCUUUUUGAAUGGUAAAAUGUCAAGCCUUUGUUAAAUUCUGAUUUCCAAUUAAAAGGAUCUCAAACUAGGAAUUUGUUGGAUAAGCAGCUGUUAUUUAAUGCCACUUUUCAUUAAACGAAUAGCCUUGACUGAAGUCCUAAAUUUUCUUCCAAGUAAAACAAAAGCACAAAAUACACGGUAUCAGUGCAAACAAGCUAGCCUGGCCUGAGGACAGAGUUCCCCACAUCAAAGGAGUUGGAAUGACUGUGUUGUCAUCUGCUGGAUGGCCUCCAAGUCUGAGCUUCUCUUAAACAUUCUAGGAGCAAAUAAUGUUUUCGUAUUAACUGUGUCAAAAGUUAGGCCUGAAGGGUGGAGGAAGCAGCCAUUUUCUGAGUUCUGAGGUGGGCUUCAGCACUUUGUGACACCAGUGGAGACGCUGCAGGUCACACCAGCCGUGGACAGCCUUCCCAGGCCAGGAGGGAAGGCAAAGGCAGACCUGUGCCUCCUAGAGGACAAGGUGAAUGCAACUGUGAAGCAGCUGCUUCCUGUGUCCUCAGCACUGUGUUUGCUGUCUAGAUGAGAGCAGUGCAGCACUCCCCACAAACAGGAAAGCGUGGUGGCUUAAUUAUCACAAGUACCAACGCCUAAUUCAGCACCCAUUCCAACUGUGCCCGGUCCAGACCUGAAAAUUGCCGAGUGUGGCUCUUGCUGCGAUUUUCUUAUAUCUUCGCUAUUGUUCAUUUUCUUAUCUUUAUUUUAAUAUGUGAUUUUUGUGACAUUUAUGUUCCCAAAGGCCCGGCUUUUCAGCCAUCAUCACUUUUGUGAGCUGCAUCAACAAUGUAAGAUGUGGUGGUGUUCACUGAGUUCAAGAUGUUACACUUUUGGGGGAUUUUUAAAAUGUAUAUUUACUGAUUCAUUUUGUAAUCGAAACCUUUGUGAAUCUAUUAGACUUAAGUUUGUAAUUAUAUAAAUGAUUCCAAAAUAUUACUAAGGAAAACAUAAA